UACGGAAGGCAGCAGUGGGGAAUAUUGCACAAUGGGCGCAAGCCUGAUGCAGCCAUGCCGCGUGUAUGAAGAAGGCCUUCGGGUUGUAAAGUACUUUCAGUCGUGAGGAAGGUGUUAAGGUUAAUAACCUUAGCAAUUGACGUUAGCGACAGAAGAAGCACCGGCUAACUCCGUGCCAGCAGCCGCGGUAAUACGGAGGGUGCGAGCGUUAAUCGGAAUUACUGGGCGUAAAGGGCACGCAGGCGGUUAAUUAAGUUGGAUGUGAAAUCCCCGGGCUUAACCUGGGAAUGGCAUUCAAGACUGGUUAGCUAGAGUCUUGUAGAGGGGGUAGAAUUCCAUGUGUAGCGGUGAAAUGCGUAGAGAUGUGGAGGAAUACCGGUGGCGAAGGCGGCCCCUGAACAAAGACUGACGCUCAUGUGCGAAAGCGUGGGGAGCAAACAGGGAUUAGAUACC
rnacentral:rRNA from 1 species